rnacentral:rRNA from 1 species
CCUACGGGUGGCAGCAGUGGGGAAUAUUGCACAAUGGGGGAAACCCUGAUGCAGCAACGCCGUGUGAAGGAGGACGGUUUUCGGUUUGUAAACUUUUGUUUUUAGUGAAGAAUAAUGACGGUAGCUAAGGAGCAAGCCACGGCUAAAUACGUGCCAGCAGUCGGGGUAUUCCGUAGGUUGCAAGCGUUGUCCGGAAUUACUGGGUGUAAAGGGAGCGAAGGCGGGAAGCCAAGUCAGCUGUGAAAACUACGGGCUUAACUUGUAGAUUGCAGUUGAAACUGGUUUUCUUGAGUGAAGUAGAGGUUGGCGGAAUUCCGAGUGUAGCGGUGAAAUGCGUAGAUAUUCGGAGGAACACCGGUGGCGAAGGCGGCCAACUGGGCUUUAACUGACGCUGAGGCUCGAAAGUGUGGGGAGCAAACAGGAUUAGAUACCCCAGUAGUC